UCGCUUUAGCUGCCUAAAAACCAGCUAGCGAAGAUCCUCCCGGCAUCGCCCAUGUGCUCGGGUCAGGGUCCUAAUCGAAGUGGGAUACGCUAAAUUUUUCCGUCUGUAAAAUUUAGAAGAGCUUACCAGACUAGCAAUACAGAAUGCCUGUCACUCGGCACGCUGUAAAGCGAACCUUUAAAUGAGUGUCUAUGAACGUAGAGAUUUAAGUGGCAAUAUGUUUGGACGCGGGUUCGACUCCCGCCGUCUCCAUUU
rnacentral:tmRNA from 1 species